UACGGGGGGAGCAAGCGUUGUUCGGAUUUACUGGGCGUAAAGGGCGCGUAGGCGGCCUCCGCAAGUCAGUUGUGAAAUCUCCGAGCUUAACUCGGAAAGGUCAACUGAUACUGCGGGGCUAGAGUGCGGAAGGGGCAACUGGAAUUCUUGGUGUAGCGGUGAAAUGCGUAGAUAUCAAGAGGAACACCUGCGGCGAAGGCGGGUUGCUGGGCCGACACUGACGCUGAGGCGCGAAAACUAGGGGAGCGAACGGG
rnacentral:rRNA from 1 species